rnacentral:rRNA from 1 species
UACGGAGGGUGCAAGCGUUAAUCGGAAUUACUGGGCGUAAAGGGCACGCAGGUGGCUGAGAAAGUCGGGUGUGAAAGCCCCGGGCUUAACCUGGGAAUUGCAUUCGAAACUACUUGGCUAGAGUAUGGGAGAGGGAAGCGGAAUUCCCGGUGUAGCGGUGAAAUGCGUAGAUAUCGGGAGGAACAUCAGUGGCGAAGGCGGCUUCCUGGCCCAAUACUGACACUCAUGUGCGAAAGCGUGGGGAGCAAACAGG